GUCAUAAUCUUAUAAUUUUUGUGGCAUACAAAAGCAUAGCUGUUCUAGCAUCUAAGAUGAUAUCGUCUUUCUUCAUAAAUUAUUUUUUUGACUAAUGAUGAUUUGUUAUAGAGGUUGCGUAUUAGUUUAGGUUUAGGGUGUUUAAGGCUUUGGAAAUACUAGUUAUAUAUUUUAUAGGCAAGUUAAUGAAAUUAGAAGAAUGCUAGUUGCCUUCACCUUUUUACAAUCUAUGUAUACUUUUGGCAUAUUGCACUUCUUUUAUGCAAAAGCAAGACAACUGACUUAGUAGGUUAGCUGUUUCACUUUGCCUUCUUGGCCUCUCUCCCCUAUUCUCUUGCUCUCCCCCCUUACCAAACAUCUUUUGCUCCAUGAACUACACUCUCCAAUCAAAACUUCAUUGCUGAUGUGAACCCGAUUGAAGGAUGAAGAUUGGUUUACUUACAUGUCGCCAACAUUGAAUUGCCAAAAGCAAAGAUGUGAUUUUACACCCAUUUCUUACUGCUCUUUAUCAAUAGUGGCUAAACCAUUCCCAAAACUGAUUGAUUCUUUUCUUGCCACCACAGCUCAUGUAU
rnacentral:misc_RNA from 1 species